rnacentral:rRNA from 1 species
AGUACGCACAACGUUGGCGGAAUUCGUCGUGUAGCGGUGAAAUGCUUAGAUAUGACGAAGAACUCCGAUUGCGAAGGCAGCUGACGGGAGCGCAACUGACGCUUAAGCUCGAAGGUGCGGGUAUCGAACAGGAUUAGAUACCCUGGUAGUCCGCACAGUAAACGAUGGAUGCCCGCUGUUGGUACCUGGUAUCAGCGGCUAAGCGAAAGCAUUAAGCAUCCCACCUGGGGAGUACGCCGGCAACGGUGAAACUCAAAGGAAUUGACGGGGGCCCGCACAAGCGGAGGAACAUGUGGUUUAAUUCGAUGAUACGCGAGGAACCUUACCCGGGCUUGAAUUGCAGGAGAACGAUACAGAGAUGUUGAGGUCCUUCGGGACUCCUGUGAAGGUGCUGCAUGGUUGUCGUCAGCUCGUGCCGUGAGGUGUCGGCUUAAGUGCCAUAACGAGCGCAACCCCUCUCUUCAGUUGCCAUCAGGUUAAGCUGGGCACUCUGGAGACACUGCCACCGUAAGGUGUGAGGAAGGUGGGGAUGACGUCAAAUCAGCACGGCCCUUACGUCCGGGGCUACACACGUGUUACAAUGGCCGGUACAGAGGGACGGUGUAAUGCAAAUUGCAUCCAAUCUUGAAAGCCGGUCCCAGUUCGGACUGGGGUCUGCAACCCGACCCCACGAAGCUGGAUUCGCUAGUAAUCGCGCAUCAGCCAUGGCGCGGUGAAUACGUUCCCGGGCCUUGUACACACCGCCCGUCAAGCCAUGAAAGCCGGGGGUGCCUGAAGUCCGUGACCGCAAGGAUCGGCCUAGGGCAAAACUGGUGAUUGGGGCUAAGUCGUAACAAGGUAACC